UACGGAGGAUCCAAGCGUUAUCCGGAUUUAUUGGGUUUAAAGGGUGCGUAGGCGGCUUUUUAAGUCAGGGGUGAAAGACGGUGGCUCAACCAUCGCAGUGCCUUUGAUACUGAAGAGCUUGAUUAAACUUGAGGUAGGCGGAAUGUGACAAGUAGCGGUGAAAUGCAUAGAUAUGUCACAGAACACCGAUUGCGAAGGCAGCUUACUAAGGUUUGAAUGACGCUGAGGCGCGAAAGCUAGGGGAGCGAACGGG
rnacentral:rRNA from 1 species